CCCAUCUAAUUCUGAGAUGCACGAGAGAGAGAAAGGUGGCCUAGUCCUAGAUACCGCUGUGAUGCUGCCUCCCUCCACUGAAAAUGGUGACCUCCUGUCUCACGCUUCCUCCAAGCGACAGCCACUGCCACGGUAACCUCCUCCUUCACGCCGCUUGCACAGCCUUGCCGGUCCUUCAUCCUCCCAUCUCCGGCCAACCCAUCUUAGUUUAGGAAAGGAGAUGUCACAACAAAAAGUAAGCCAUCACUUCAAUGUCAAGUAGCACAGACUGGUGGAGUAUAUCGAAGUCAACCAGCACCUCAGAUUAUUAUUUUUUUUGAUAAGUAACAACAAAAUUGCCUUCAUUGUUUUUACUAGAUUAAUAUUUUUGCGCACUUUCUCAGGUUAGAGACACAAAGAGUUACAAGAAGUUACAGCUUUGGAGUGUUAGCAGAAAUAAUGGCUGUUGCAAGACAUCCAAAAGAAUUACAAAAUCUUAUAUGAAUGCACAAGAGCAUAGAUGAAUAAGAUUGCUUGUGAAUUAAUGUGCAAAAGUGAAGGCCCUUAUGGAGAUAAAUGUGUAUUUGAAGUGGAUGGAAUACUUAUAUAUUUUUCGUUAUUUUUGAAACAAUUCGAGGGUUACCACUGUUUGGAACAAAUUUUUUGUUAUUGUCUGACACUGUUUGAGGAUUACUACUAUUUGGAACAUUUUGAAUGGUGGAAUUUAAUGAUGCUUGUUGAAACCU